AGUGAACGCUGGCGGUAGGCCUAACACAUGCAAGUCGAACGGCAGCACAGUAAGAGCUUGCUCUUACGGGUGGCGAGUGGCGGACGGGUGAGGAAUACAUCGGAAUCUACUUUUUCGUGGGGGAUAACGUAGGGAAACUUACGCUAAUACCGCAUACGACCUACGGGUGAAAGCAGGGGAUCUUCGGACCUUGCGCGAUUGAAUGAGCCGAUGUCGGAUUAGCUAGUUGGCGGGGUAAAGGCCCACCAAGGCGACGAUCCGUAGCUGGUCUGAGAGGAUGAUCAGCCACACUGGAACUGAGACACGGUCCAGACUCCUACGUGAGGCAGCAGUGGGGAAUAUUGGACAAUGGGCGCAAGCCUGAUCCAGCCAUACCGCGUGGGUGAAGAAGGCCUUCGGGUUGUAAAGCCCUUUUGUUAGGAAAGAAAAGCAGCAGGUUAAUACCCCGCUGUUCUGACGGUACCCAAAGAAUAAGCACCGGCUAACUUCGUG
rnacentral:rRNA from 1 species